ACCGUCGGACGUAUAGAAAAGCUAGCUGCAGAAGCCGACAAAUCGCUCGAAUGGAAAUGAAUUCAGACCAGAGCAGAAAAAAUGUGCUGGAAAAACAGAUACGAACUGCAUCUGCCGGAUUUGUCGAGUUGCCGUCCACCUUGUGUCAACUGCCUUUGGUUGAGUUUGAAUUUGCCGCCACGAGUGUGCACCUCUAAACUAGUUAUACUAGCUGGCCAACGCAUCAACUGGACAAGGUGUAUGGGUGUGUAUACUUAUUAUCCAGUGACUCAUUCGGCUUCUAUAAAAACGGACACAACUGCCACGGAAUCGUCUGUCCGUCACCAACCUGUCGUCGCACUGCUGAACAAAUUCACCAAAUCGUUCAAGUUAAUUCACUUUCAUCAUGAUUCGCCGUAAUCCGUUGCGCAAUUUGUGCCUUCUCUUGAUAAUGGUUUUGGCUUUGAUGAAUACCGCCUUCAACGCCGCUCCUGUUGAUCUUACCCGUCAAAUCGCCGUCCCGGUGCUUGACGACGGCAAGGACGUCGUUGAGAAUGCCACCACUGCGCCAGACCAGCCUUGGUGGAAUGUUUUCUGGGGCUUUUUAAAAAAAUGAACUUUAUCCAUCUUCUUCUUUCCCUUGUCACUUUAUAGCCUGAAUUUCUUUCUUUUUUGACACCUGCAAUCCUUUUUCUAUCACCUUCUAACAUUUUUGCCUCCAUUUCUUAAUUAUGGGAAAUCAUUUGGGUGUGCCUUAUUAACAUUGAAUUUCAACCGUCUAUUUUAUUACGACAAACACAAACUGUCAUAUUGCACCUGAAUAGUUUUGAUCGUUAUCUCACCCCAUCUUCGCGUGAAAUGUAAAAAAAACAAGCAUUUAAUUAUGUACUGUAUCCUUUUCUUUGGUAUACUUCCCUAACGGCAUUUCAUAAUUUUAUCCAUUAACACACUUGAAUAAAUCUAGAAAGAAGAAAGUUAAUCAAUGAAAAAGCUGAACACACACAACAAAUUGAAUAAUGACUAUAAAGCUAAAUGAAAUUAAAA